rnacentral:rRNA from 1 species
CCCCAAAAACACAAAGUUUUGGUCCUAAACUUGCCGUUGUUUUUAAUCAAAAUUACACAUGCAAGCAUCCGCACACCAGUGAGAAUGCCCUAUAAAGUACCAAGGAGCAGGUAUCAGGCACAACCAAUUAGCCCAAGACACCUUGCUAUGCCACACCCACACGGGCACCCAGCAGUGAUAAAUAUUAAGCAAUGAGUGAACAACCAAUUCAAAGCUCGACUUAGUUAUGAAUACAAGGGCCGGUCAACCUCGUGCCAGCCACCGCGGUUAUACGAGGGGCCCAAAACACCGGACAUCGGCGUAAAUUAUGGCUAGAGAAAUCACUUACAACAUGGGAAAUAAACACAAACCCAACCGUAAAACCCGGGACAAAAGAAACUUAAAUUCCCAAUUACAAAGUAACUUGAACCCAUGAAGACUAAKAAACAAACUAGGAUUAGAUACCCUACUAUGCUUAGUUGUUAACACGACAUUAAACAACACUAAUGUCCGCCAGAGGAUUACGCGCGAAAAGCUUAAAACUCAAAGGACUUGGCGGUGCUCCGUAUUCGCCUUAGAGGAGCCUGUCCUAUAAUCGAUACUCCACGCUUUACCUCACCAUCUUUUGUAAAACAGCCUAUAUACCGCNGUCGCAAACUUACCC